ACAAGCCAUUUUACCACAGCAGGUGACACAUAUUAGGCCUGAAUAAGACUUUAGAAUUUGAAGUGGUGGUGACGAUGCCGAUAUCCAAGAUGGCGGAAUUAUACCAGUGGUCAAAUCUCAUCUAGUUUGGGUAAUUGCAUCAUUAUUUCUUUUUGUGAUUGGUGAUUUGUAAAAUUGAGAAUGAUUGAAAAAUCAGUAUUUUUUCACCCAAAGGCAUGAGUGAACAUUUGAUAAGUUUAUUGUGAUUUAAUUGGUAAUUUGGUCGACAUUUUGACAAUUAUAUUUAGCAAUAUUUCGAUAAAUGCGGACCUGCUUCUUCCUCUUUUCGCAGUAACGGUGUUUCGAUAACUCAGUUAGACUUCGAGAUCUACAUUUUCGACAAAGGCCUGGUGUAAUAUUACAAUACAUACUUGAUGAAGGUUUAAUGACACGAAUGAGUACAAGUACAUUACAUUUUUCGACGAAGGCCUUCUGUAAUUUCAUACACUUCUUACGCAACAUUCAAUAGAUUUAUUUACUGUAUUAUCAUUUCGACCAAGGCGAAUUCGACACUUCAGUUACACAAGGUUAGUAACUUUUGUUCACAAAAUCCAAAUGGAGGCAAAUACAGAACAAUCAAACUUAGUCAUUCCAGUCAGUUACUGAAGCACAGUGAAAACUGUCGGGAGCAAUGCAACUGAUGGCAUGUCAAACUUCCAGUGACUGUCCCUGUCCAUAUAUUUCAAGACAGUACAAAUCUUGUAAUCAUUUUGUUUAUGCAAUGUACGUUAUUAUGUAUCAUUUCAGCACAAUCAAACUUAGUCAUUCCAGUCAGUUACUGAAGCACAGCGAAAACUGUCUGAAUUAGUGCUGCUGAUGGCAUGUAAUUACUCUACUACCACUACCAGUGACAGUCAAUGUCCAUAUAUUUUCAAGUGUGCGAAAUUAGUACUCGUCUACUUCUUAGUGUUAUUUGAAUGCAAUGUAUGUCAUAAAAAUAUUUUUUCAACACUAUAUCAACAUUCUCAUUCCUGUCAGUUUCUGAAAAUCAGCUAAAGCAAUCGCUACCAAUGCAGCUGAUAACAGCAAUUCUUUUUGUUCCCAAUGCCCAUCCAUGACAAUAUAUUUCACGCAUGUGACAAUCAUGUAAUCAUCCUGUUUUUUGUGUUCUAUUCAUGCAAUAAAUAAAUUCAGUAUUUUCAAAUCAUUGGUGCUACAAAACUAUUCUCAUUAUAUAUUAUUCAUAUUUUAUAAAAUGCUGUCAUGUCAAAUUUUGUGUCCUAUAAAUCAUUAUGAAGUCGGCAUUUUAUAUACAACUUUUGUACUCCUCCUAAAUAAACAUACAAAUCUUGUUUUAUGUAAACUUUGUAUAUGUGACCCGUCACAGCAAAACCAGGCGCAUGUCGCUCUGAGCUUGGCAGGUUGAGACGGACUGUUCUAAUCUUUCAUUAGCGACACCAUUUCUUACCCGAGUGCCUCCUUCAUUCAUACAUCUUGUACUUUAACUCAAGAUACCCAUCUUUGAAUAUUUUUAGUAUACCAAGUACUACAAUGUCAAUGUAUUGAAGUCAUGUUCUUGUAGUGUUAUUGGCUUUCUAUUAUCUUGUUAAAAUACCACUUGGUUCUCGCAAAAUCUCAAUAAAAACAAAUGCUAUUGCAUGUAUUGCAUAUUCUAACUGCUAUCCACUGUAUCGAUUUAUCCAUCAUCUGUACUAUUUGUCACAAAAAUGUUAUAUUAUGUAAAUCAUAUUUCAUUACAUAAUGCACACUGCCAAUUACUGCUGAACCAUUCAUAUGUCAUUUAAAUAAAUAAUUUUCAACUUUUUAAAA